CACUUUUUUAAUGCGCAUGCGCGACCCUCUGGCAAGUGUCAUGCACAUUUUUUAUCAGGAAAAAGAUAGGGAAAUGCAAAAUUUUGGCAGUAAAACGGCGAUUUUAAGCGCAGUAAACGAUCUAUCUUCAUUUUGUGCACGAAUUUUGCAAAUAAAUGGCACACUGCGUCUUCUUAGCAAAAGGGAAUUGAACGAAUACCAUUUUUAACGGCGAAAAUGAGAAAAGACACCCGAAGGAGUGAGAAUUUCUGGCAAUCUGAAGAUUCGAUUCUGUAGACCUGAACUCCAGCUGGAACUUGGCAACUUUAUAUGUGAGUUUUUUUUCUCUAGCUCAUAUAUAUCAAAUUAUCAAUAUAUUUUUGUCAAGUGCAAUGUUGUAUCAAAGGGUUGUCGUUAAUUUAAACAUUGCAUAAACAACAUUCAGAUACGAAAAUGAACAUCAACAUUCAACAUGGACUGAUGGAGUCAAGGACAUGGAGCCACAGUACUCUAGUACUACUAUAUUUAACUUAUAUAUUGACCCAGUGUUGGGGGAUUGGUCAAAUUAUACUUUAUAGUGAUUCCCCUAGAUUAGUGCAUUGGUUAUUGUGCAAUGACAACCUUUUUUCAGAGACCUCUCAAAGGUCAAUUUCUCAGACAUGCCAAGUCACUGUACAUGUUUAAUAAUCUAAUCUGUUUAUUUAUUUUGUUUAUUUUUCUAGAUUGCCAAUCAUUCCUGUUGAACUACAUUAUUCAUUUCAAUGAAUCAGAUGCAGAAUCUUACAACUAUGGUUAAUUUGUUCAAAUUUGUUCACCUGAUUGGGGAAAACCUGACACUAUUUGAUCUUAUUAGUUAUUGGAAUGCCUAUCAAAUUUACAUAGCCUCAGGCAAUGUUUAUAUAAUUCAUCUCGAGUAAUAGAGAUGCUGUACCCCCUGAGGGAGUGACCCUACUACCUGGAUCAUCCCACUAGGCAAGACAGGUUCAAAACUUUCCAUGCAUUUAACACUUGCAUGGCAGUUGCUAUAAUAGGAUAUGAUAGUUGCUAUAAUAGGAUAAUAUAAUUUUGCCUUGCCAGGGUGGCUCAGGGGAUAGGAUUUCCCUAGUACCUGGAGACCAUAUAAACAGGUCUUCAGAUUACUGUAAUAGUUUACUGUAAUGGAGGGUUAAAAAAGCACCCCCCCCCCCAUGUAAAAGUGCAUGGUAGGCCUGCUCCCCAAUCCAGCCCCCCUUGGAAGAUGUACUGCAGUAAAGCUAGACAAUUUUACUUGUUAACCCAUUGAGUCACUUUGCGCCCUACUUUAUUAUUUUACUCUGUCUAUUGUCUAACACCAGACGAUCCAGUUAACCUAUUGAGUUACAUUGUGCCCUGAUGCACCCUACUUUAUUAUUUUACUCUGUCUAACGCCAGACGAUUUUACUCGUCAAGGGGAGAGCACACUUGAACAGGGAAAGGAUUAAUUGGGAAUACUUUCUCUAAACUAUUUAUCAAUGAAAGGAACAAUGCAAUUAUUCAUAGUAUGUAACUUUUUAGAUAAAGCAAAGACUGUAGGAGGAAACAUGGAUCAUUGGCUACUUUUUUUAUUUAGUAUUAAUUUCCAUGACAGCAUGUGGGUCAACUAUAAAGGAAACAGUUAUUGCCUAUUUUGGAAUAAAAAAUUUAGAAUAUAGCAAUAUUCAUUGACAUUGAACACAUAUUUAUUUAGUUUUUGAAUAAUUUAAGUUCUUAAAUGUAUAUAAAUGUGAAAUAAAAU
rnacentral:lncRNA from 1 species